rnacentral:lncRNA from 1 species
UUUAUUAUUAUAAUUUUUAAUAAUUUGUGAAUAAUUUGGCUAGCUCAAAAAAUUCGCAUUUUAUUUUUUUAAAAGAAAAUAGCACAUGGCCUGUUUUAUUGGAAUUUUCAAUAAUUCGCGAAUUAACUAACAAAGGGUCCAACAUAUUUUGGCUCCCGGACAUCUUUUAUUGAAUAUAAAUAUUAAAAAUACUGUUCUCUGACAGUUUAAACUUUAGAGAAUAAUAAUUAUUAUAUAAA